rnacentral:SRP_RNA from 1 species
GCCGGGUGUUGUGGUGGGCGCCUGUAGUCCCAGCUACUUGGGAGGCAGAGGCAGGAGAAUCGCUUGAGCCCAGGAACUGGAGGUUGUUGUGAGCUAUGAUGCCACGGCACUCUACCCAGGGCAAUAGCUUGAGGCUCUGUUUCCUUUUCUUUGUUUUUUUUUUUUUUUUUGAGACGGAGCCUCAAGCUAUCCCCCUGGGUAGAGUGCCAUGGCAUCACGCUCACAGCAACCUCCAACUCAAGCGAGUCUCCUGCCUCAG